rnacentral:ncRNA from 1 species
GUUUCAGGGCGGGGUGCAAUUCCCCACUGGUGGUGACGGAGCAUGCAUGCUCCCAAGUCCGCGCGCCGCGAAGAAAAGAGCGGCUGAUCUGGUGAGAAUCCAGGACCAACGGUUACAGUCCGGAUGGAAGAAA